UACGUAGGGCGCAAGCGUUGUCCGGAAUUAUUGGGCGUAAAGAGCUCGUAGGCGGUUUGUCGCGUCUGCUGUGAAAACCUCAGGCUCAACCUGGGGCUUGCAGUGGGUACGGGCAGACUAGAGUGCGGUAGGGGUGACUGGAAUUCCUGGUGUAGCGGUGGAAUGCGCAGAUAUCAGGAGGAACACCGGUGGCGAAGGCGGGACUCUGGGCCGAUACUGACGCUGAGGAGCGAAAGCGUGGGGAGCAAACAGG
rnacentral:rRNA from 1 species